rnacentral:rRNA from 1 species
GACGUAGGGUCCGAGCGUUGUCCGGAGUUACUGGGCGUAAAGGGUGCGUAGGCGGGUCUUUAAGUCAGGGGUGAAAUCCUGGAGCUCAACUCCAGAACUGCCUUUGAUACUGAAGAUCUUGAGUUCGGGAGAGGUGAGUGGAACUGCGAGUGUAGAGGUGAAAUUCGUAGAUAUUCGCAAGAACACCAGUGGCGAAGGCGGCUCACUGGCCCGAUACUGACGCUGAGGCACGAAAGCGUGGGGAGCAAACAGG